ensembl:lncRNA MAP4K3-DT MAP4K3 divergent transcript
AGGCAGAGUCUUGCUUUGUUGUCCAGGCUGGUCUUGAACUUCUGAGCUCAAGUGAUCCUCCCGCCUUGGCCUCCCAAAGUGCUGAGACUACAGAGAGAGAAUGCUAACGAGCUGUGAAAUGACCAAAGAUCUGGCAGCAGAAGGGAAAAGAAAAAAUAAUGGGUUUGUAUAUUAUACAUUCUGGAUAAUCAGCUCUUGAAUGAUUAAGUGUGGAAUACGUCUUACGGGGAAAAGCAGAUUUUUAAUACUCAUUUUGUCCCGGCGCGGUGGGUCACGCCUCUAAUCCCAGCACUUUAUGGGAGGCCGAGACAGGCGGAUCACGAGGUCAGGAGAUCGAGACCAUCCUGGCUAACACGGUGAAACCCUGUCUCUACUAAAACUACAAAAAAAUUAGCCGGGCUUGGUGGCGGGCGCCUAUAGUCCCAGCUACUCAGGAGGCUGAGGCAGGAGAAUGGCGUGAACCCAGGAAGUGGAGUUUGCAGUGAGCCAAGAUCGCACCACUGCACCCCAGUCUGAGCGACUG